GCUGGCUGGGAGGGUCCUAAAAAUACCACCACUAGAACCAUGGAUGACUAUGCUCAGAUUUGGGAUGGGUUUAUAUGGCUUACCCCUGGUUAUGGAUAUUUGAACACCUGGACACCUCUAUGUUAGGAACAGAAAAAUCAUUCUUAACAGAACCAACCCAAUUGUGCAAGGAAUAUGGGAUGGAUAUCAUUGGAACUGUGCAGUUAUUCUGUCCUAUUAAAGGUUAGCAACUGGUUAGGCAUUGACUGGUCAUGCCACUCUGGCCAGGUGAGCACAUUCCAUUUUCCACUGGUACAAUUACUUGGCCACCAACUUUGUCUCCUCCAAUGGCCGGAGGGUGUUACAGCACAUGCAGAAGGCCUUACUGCGUUCACCCAGCAAGCCUUGGCUGACAGCCAACAAGUCUGUCCAUACUCAACACUGAAGUGUCUCUAAUAAAAAAGCCGUAUUCCAAA